UUCUCUCGGUCUGUUAUUAAUUUUUCUUAUCACAAAUUGGUUCGUGGUUCCAAUAAUAAGUUGACUUGAUGAAUGAUAGAUAAAAUCAACUCUAAAAUAAGUACUAGAUAUGCCUGAAAAAAUGAUUACACAGUCAAGUGCAGAAACAAAUUAUGAAGAUUCAAAGACAAAACUUGUUUGUUUUUUGUGAUUUGGAUUGACAACAACAUGAAAAGAUAAAGCUUAGGCUUGGUCGGUGAGUGUGUUAUGCUAUGCGUUGCCUAUCUCUUAUACUCCCACUUUUUUUCAGUCAAAAGACACCUCAAUAUAAAAAACCUACUAUUUGAUAACAUAUUUGGGUAAGUAACCAUUGAUGUCGUUGUUUGUUCUCUAGUGGUAGAAGCUCCGGAUAGUUAGAUACUUUUCUUCUUCAUCAUUAAGGAUGGCAAGAGAUGUCAAUGAGUAGGAAUAGGUAGCUUACGUAUCUAUAGUUACAUUUUAAUUAAAACAAAUUGAUAAAUAAUAAAAUAUUAUAUUAUUUGAUAUAAUUAAAAUUGUUUAAUAUUAAAUUAUAAAAAAUAUUUAUCUUAUUGAAAAUUAUAAACAUCUAAAUAUUAAAAACAAAAAUUUACAAAUCUGACAUCUUUCAAAACUUAUAUAAAAGUUAUAAAUUAUGUUUGUUUCGUGCUGAAACCACAAAUAAUUGAUGAUGGAGUGGAAAAUGAGCUCUCUGCUACAUUCGGUACGACAUAGUGGGGUGAAUCUAUAAAGUUAGCACUUCAACGUUCAAGUCAGUGGCUAAAAGAGAAAUAGUAUGAGUAUGAAAAUGGGUAGAAUACCCAAGUCUUGGUGCGUGAAGGGCUUCAUAUAGAUGAGCAGUUAGAACCGCUCCCGCUUGAUUAUAUGUUUCAUGCGAAUCUCUAUUGGAUUGGAUCUGACAGUAGGAAAUUUCCAGAAAGUUAGAGUUGUCUGCUCCGAGCUUGGGUGAUGUUGUACAUAUUCCUCUGUGUUUUCCUUCAUAGCGCUUGUUUUUGGGCCUUGACAUGUGGGUCUUGUGGAGGCCAAAAACAAUUGUCCUAAUGGCUUCAUUCAUGUUUGCUGGAAUGAGGAUUUUGUCGCAUGAGUUUCUAGUUUGGCCCUUGUUCGAAGGAUAUGAGAUAGUUGUGAGACUGGUAGCAUUGGGAACGUGCACAAUGAAUGUCUUCCUUUCAACUCGUAACACCUAACUAGAGGGUUGUCACGCGUGGUUCUACGAUUGUCAGUAAUGAUGCUCUUUUAUCUUAGGUUACUCAAGUGUUCAGGAGAGUUCAAUGCGAGAUCACAAUCAUUGGUCGUGUGGUCACAUUGUCCAAUGCAUGUUGUCGAGGAUUGAACAAUUACUUAUAUAUAUAUAUAUAUAUAUAUAUAUAUAUAUAUAUAUAUAUAUAUAGGCUUCUAGGUAGCAUUUCCUAUUUCCACCAUUUGCAAAACUCCAAGAGUUCUUUCUCUAUUCUCUACCAUUGCCCUAUGUAAUCGUCAAGAAUCUCCCAUUAGACAUUAGUUUGACGUCUUCACAUCAUCUUCUCAAGCUAACCUUGCUCACUCAUCAAAUUCAUCUCUUUCGAGGUAAGAAUUCAAAGUCUCUAUUUCUUAUGUACUUAUCUUGCCUUUGAGGGAAGUGGCUGCGAACGAUGGUGAAAGGGUAAUUGGUAGCCUCACUCCUAGGGAGAUUGCUGGAGGUUUUGCUUUUCUUGCCAUGCACUUGAUGAACCCCAUCGUUGUAGAUGAUUUUAAGCAGGAGUGUAAGGCUCAGACCUAUAUCAAGACGCGUCGUUGUGCUUUUGGUUGCAACCCCGCAUACUACAAGGUGAAAUGGUAGUUGGAAUCUCGAUCUUGUGCUUAUACUCAUGGGCGUUCUUUUUUUUGUGAGUUGGUGAUAAUUUUGAAAUCGACAACUCUGUUAUAGGAACACAUAAUAUGACAUGAGACAAUUCAGUUGUGUAGAUGGACCAAGAAACGUUGGAUGUUGCAUUCGUCUUUGUUUCUAAGGGUGGUAUGGACCACACUUUUACUGAGGUGGGUCCCUCUCCGAAUUGGAGGGUGCUUUCCACUAAAGGAGAUAAAAGGGUGUGUAGAAAAUAUGAGGGUGCAUCAUUCCUCUUCAUGAAUGUUUGUUUUCCUUGAUAGAUUUUUGCCUUUCUUUGAAUGACUUUGAGGUGGGUAUUCUGAAUGAUCUGGUGAUUGCCCCUCGCAUCUGCAUUUGGUAAGUUUGGGCUUAUGACAAAGUCUUCUAAUAUUGGUGUGAGUAUAAGAAAAAUAUGUCAACCUUAAUGCUCAUUUUCCAUCUUUUCGGUGUCAACGUCGUUCGGCUAUCUCCGUACAAGAUAAAAGCUUGCUCUCCCACAGGUAGAGUUAGAAGAUGUUCAAGGUCUACUCUGAUAGCAUGGAGAAUUUCAAAGACUGGUGCUACCUGGCUACUCCCCUUACUGAGAAUGCCCAUGCAAGUGUGUGCGAUAUGCAACCUGAGUGCUCUCCAAAUGAUGAGGCCUAUCUAAAGAGGAAAUUUGUAGCCUUCAAGGAAAAUUUAAGCUUUCUUGACGACGUCGCGCCUUCCUAGGGCGAGGUCAAAGAAAAAAAAGAAGUGGUACAUAAAGACAUACUUGGUAGUGGAUGACGCCACUAAAGAGGAGAGGUGUGUCAUCUUCGAUAAUAUGAAGUGUCACAAGACGAUGCUUCAAAUGAAAAAAAGGACGUUUAUGGUCAUUAGUUUUCUUUCAAAAAUCGUUUGUUCGGCUACGCAAAAAAUCCAAAUGUGGGACCCAUCGUUGAUCCGACCUCUUUAAAUCUUUCUACCCCGGCUAAGACGGAGGUACCAGGUUCUUAAAAUUGCGACCAGAGGUGCCUCACACUCGUUUUUGUGCGCAACAUGUGAUGAUUACUCUAGUGGGAUUUCCUUAUGCUUCUUAUGCUAGAGAGCAGAACGACAAAAGACAUGCGACGAGUGUGCCGAAUUUAAGAGGAUUUGGUCCCAAAGACUGUCCAACCUCUACCCCGAGUGCAUGGUCGUCGCUGCUUAUGGCUUGCCCUAAUCCUCCGAACAGCUAGAGAAUUUCAAUCUUUCUUUUUUAAAAAAAAGGCUAUGCUUUUUUUUAAAGCAAAA